UACGGGGGGGGUAAGCGUUGUUCGGAAUUACUGGGCGUAAAGGGCUCGUAGGCGGCCAACUAAGUCAUACGUGAAAUCCCUCAGCUUAACUGGGGAACUGCGUGUGAUACUGGAUGGCUUGGAUUUGGGAGAGGGAUGCGGAAUUCCAGGUGUAGCGGUGAAAUGCGUAGAUAUCUGGAGGAACACCGGUGGCGAAGGCAGCUCGCUGGGACGGUACUGACGCUGAGGUGCGAAAGCGUGGGGAGCGAACAGG
rnacentral:rRNA from 1 species